GCAGGGUAGGUCAUGGACCCUAUGGUUUAGUUCUUCACUAAGCUGUGGCACAUGUCAUGCUACUUCCCAGCAGACAGUAGGGCUUCCUUCAGGAACUGGAAGAUCCCAAUUAAGUCACCCCAAAGCCUUUUCAUUUCCAGUCUGAACAAACCCAAUUGUCUCAAUCUUUCCUUGCAGGGGAAGUGCUCCAUCCCCCUAAUCAACUUGGUGAUCCUCCUCUGAACUUGCUCCAACAGGGGUGUGAACAGUUGCUGCGUGCUGGAGAAGAUAGGACAAGAACUGUACAAAUAUGAACUUACCACAAAACCUCCACCUCAUCUCUACCCUGCAGGCCAAGUUUAUGUUCUGAAGUAUCUGCUUGGAGUGGGAAUCUAUCAUUAUCUGUUCCAUCAUCAUGCUGGAAAUAGGAAAGCAUUUUAUACUCACAGGUGCCUAAGGAUGCAAUUGACUUUUCAAAAGGAUUGGAAACCACCUCUGCAUUGAGGACCAGACACACAGAGAAAUAACAUGGAAAAUCAUAUUUAAGAGCAUCUUUUGGUAAUUGAAACCUGAAAGAAAAAACAGUUCUAAUUUUAAA